UCGUCAGUGGCGUUGGAGCGGUCGCAAACCUUGCCAAGGUUGACGUCGCGAGUUCGAAUCUCGUCUCCCGCUCCA
rnacentral:tRNA from 1 species